AGAGCGAACGCUGGCGGCAGGCUUAACACAUGCAAGUCGAGCGCCCCGCAAGGGGAGCGGCAGACGGGAGAGUAACACGUGGGAACGUACCUUUCGGUUCGGAACAACCCAGGGAAACUUGGGCUAAUACCGGAUACGUCCGUAAGGAGAAAGAUUUAUCGCCGAAAGAUCGGCCCGCGUCUGAUUAGCUAGUUGGUGAGGUAACGGCUCACCAAGGCGACGAUCAGUAGCUGGUCUGAGAGGAUGAUCAGCCUCACUGGGACUGAGACACGGCCCAGACUCCUACGGGAGGCAGCAGUGGGGAAUAUUGGACAAUGGGCGCAAGCCUGAUCCAGCCAUGCCGCGUGGGUGAUGAAGGCCCUAGGGUUGUAAAGCCCUUUCGGCGGGAAGAUAAUGACGGUACCCGCAGAAGAAGCCCCGGCUAACUUCGCGCCAGCAGCCGC
rnacentral:rRNA from 1 species